CCCGUUGGUGGCUGAAUCUAUAUGGAAUGUUCAGAAGUCUACCGAGAAAACCCAGCAGACGCGGGUUCGCAUCUUCCGGGUGCUCGAAACACGUUUGGCACUUAUACCAUAGUUGAUUUGUCCAGUAUGUUCAGUACUUUUAAAGGAGUUGUAGCUACAGGUAUGUAAUGAAUGUAAUAAUUUAAUAACAAGUGAUAACAAUUAACUAUGCUUGUACAAGUUUUCAUAAUUAUUAAGCAUUAUCAAGUGAUACCCAGUCACGUUUAAUGUAGCAUGACCAGCAAUUGUUAAGAGUUAGUAUCCCUUCUGUUGCAUCACAGAAAUGAAACUUAACAUGUUUUGCUUAUUAUUUGUGUGAUUGCGCAAAGGAUUGCGCCAUCCAGGCAAUGUGGAUAUUCUGCCAUGUACAUGAUAAACCUACGAUUCUUCGUCAACAUGCAAGAUGUUACUCUCUGCAAACUACUGUUGGCAGAAAAGCUGAUGCAUUGGGACAACGGUUAUGACAAGAGCGAUGAAUAAAUCACCAUAGGUCAGUUGCCUUGCCUUCCCAAUUGCAACAAAGAUGAAUCGUGGAGUCAAAAACAUUAAAAGAACAUGCUGGAAUUCAUGUCAUCCUGGAGAGGACUAAAAAAAAAAGUUUUAUCCAUGAAGCUGCUCCUUAAUCAUGUCCCAAACAAUUGCCUGCGUCAGCCAGCAAUCUUUCAAUGUCUAACAGGCAUUUAAUAGUUUUGAAGAUCGCGGUUUGCACUCCCUGAGGCGACAUUCCUGAAUCCCACCUGUCAAAAGAUUUGAAUGCAACAAUUUCUAUUUUGAACUGAAGCCUACCAAAUUCUUUUUUCAUAAAAUGAGGAGAUAUGAGGUUAUAAUUGAAAUUGGCGUCAAGACUGCCGAGACCAGCCCAUGGAAGAUCUCUGUGGCCAACACGAAGGGUUCUUCCAAACUUUCGUAUACAAGUUUUGGCUAUGGUGAUCAUUUGCAACUGCAUAGCUAUUUAGAAGCUGUUGCCAGGAAUCUACAGGAAUAUGGCAGAUGAUGAAUUUAUGUACCAUGUAAGCGAUAUCAAUAAGAACGUUUUAUGCUUAUCUAUGUUUUAUUUUCUUAAUUUAGAUAAAUAGCGAUAGUGAACCUGCGAAAGUUUCUGGUUGGGAUGUGAUGACGAAAAGUUAUAAUAAUCUGAAGUACGGAAUUGAAUUUCCUUCCAUCAGCCGCCUGUGUAUUCCCGCGUAUUACGGUAUUAAUUAUUUAAAAAUUCAAGUGCAUAUCUGGGCUCCCUUCCUUUCCGUAGCCCCGUUUCCCCUUGACUCAUAAUAAGCCCGUAGGGGGUCAUGCCCCUACUGUACGGUAUAUUUAAAAACAUAUACCGAGGUUUGGAGGGCUCUGGCCGGAAAGGGGACGUGGGGGUCCGCUUAGUCCGAUGAAGUGUUCAUGGAGGGCGACGUGGCUACCCACAAAUCCGAAUUAAAGGCUAAUCGCUCCUGUAAAAAUGUUCCAUUUCUUCGGCUUUUCUUCCGGCUUCUCUUAGCCAAGCACCGGGUAAUCUCCCCGGUGGGUCAACCAAGGCAGUG